GUCUACGGCCAUGCCACCCUGAACGCACCUGAUCUCGGAAGCUAAGCAGGGUCGGGCCUGGUUAGUACUUGGAUGGGAGACCACCUAGGAAGCCCAGGUGCUGUAGGCG
rnacentral:rRNA from 1 species